rnacentral:rRNA from 1 species
CACGCCGUAAACGUUGGGCACUAGGUGUGGGUUUCAACCAACGAAAUCCGCGCCGUCGCUAACGCAUUAAGUGCCCCGCCUGGGGAGUACGGCCGCAAGGCUAAAACUCAAAGGAAUUGACGGGGGCCCGCACAAGCAGCGGAGCGUGUUGCUUAAUUCGAUGCAACGCGAAGAACCUUACCUGGGCUUGACAUGUAGGGAAAAGCCGUAGAGAUACGGUGUCCUUCGGGGCCCUACACAGGUGG